GAUGAACGCUGGCGGCGUGCCUAAUACAUGCAAGUCGAGCGAACAGACGAGGAGCUUGCUCCUCUGACGUUAGCGGCGGACGGGUGAGUAACACGUGGAUAACCUACCUAUCAGACUGGGAUCACUUCGGGAAACCGGAGCUAAUACCGGAUAAUAUAUUGAACCGCAUGGUUCAAUAGUGAAAGACGGUUUUGCUGUCACGUAUAGAUGGAUCCGCGCCGCAUUAGCUAGUUGGUAAGGUAACGGCUUACCAAGGCAACGAUGCGUAGCCGACCUGAGAGGGUGAUAGGCCACACUGGAACUGAGACACGGUCCAGACGCCUACGGGAGGCAGCAGUAGGGAAUCUUCCGCAAUGGGCGAAAGCUUGACGGAGCAACGCCGAGUGAGUGAUGAAGGUCUUCGGAUCGUAAAACUCUGUUAUUAGGGAAGAACAAAUGUGUAAGUAACUAUGCACGUCUUGACGGUACCUAAUCAGAAAGCCACGGCUAACUACGUG
rnacentral:rRNA from 1 species